UCGAGAAUCUUCCACAAUGGACGCAAGUCCGAUGGAGCGACGCCACGUGCGGGAAGAAGGCCUUCGGGUUGUAAACCGCUGUUGAAGGGGAGGAACGCUACGGGGGCACACCCCCAUAGCUUGACCGAGCCUUUGAGGAAGCGCGGGCUAAGUACGUGCCAGCAGCCGCGGUAACACGUACUGCGCGAGCGUUAUUCGGAAUCACUGGGCGUAAAGGGUGCGUAGGCGGUUCAAUUAGUCAGGUGUGAAAUCCCGUGGCCCAACCACGGAACUGCACUUGAAACUGUUGAACUUGAGUUCUCUAGGGGUGAGCGGAACUUCCGGUGGAGCGGUGAAAUGUGUUGAGAUCGGAAGGAACACCAAGAGCGAAAGCAGCUCACUGGGGAGAUACUGACGCUGAGGCACGAAAGCCAGGGGAGCGAACGGGAUUAGAUACCCCCGUAGUCC
rnacentral:rRNA from 1 species